rnacentral:rRNA from 1 species
UAUUGCGCAAUGGGGGAAACCCUGACGCAGCAACGCCGCGUGCAGGAAGAAGGUCUUCGGAUNUUAAACUGUUGUCGCAGGGGAANNCANNNGNGACGGUACCCUGUGAGAAAGUCACGGCUAACUACGUNNCAGCAGCCGCGGUAAUACGUAGGUGACAAGCGUUGUCCGGAUUUACUGGGUGUAAAGGGCGCGUAGGCGGGAUAGCAAGUCAGUCGUGAAAUGCCGAGGCUUAACCUCGGAGCUGCGAUUGAAACUGUUAUUCUUGAGUAUCGGAGAGGAAAGCGGAAUUCCUAGUGUAGCGGUGAAAUGCGUAGAUAUUAGGAGGAACACCAGUGGCGAAGGCGGCUUUCUGGACGACAACUGACGCUGAGGCGCGAAAGUGUGGGGAGCA